rnacentral:lncRNA from 1 species
UGGAUAUUUCAAAUAUGAAAAUGAAAAUUUACAACUUAUCAAUAAUUGGUGUAAUUGACAUACAUACAUAAACGCUUGGAGAGUGAUGGUCGGGAAAAUGUAUGAAUUUCUUUCAAAUUCUAUGGUUCGACAAUUUCAUUGUUCGUCAUCUAACUUCGCCGACAGAAAGAGGCUCCUGGAGAUACAUUUCAGGUUAUCUUGAGGCAAGUGUCCUGAAACACAAUCAGAUCAAAAACUUUUCUCUACUAAGAAUCUUAAUCCAAAAUCUGCCUCCUUUUAGAGAGAGAGAGAGAUCAAAAAAAUAAAAAAUAAGGUUAAUUUAUGGAUUAACCAUAAUAAUUUGUGAACUUAAACACAAUAUGACGGAUCCACGAAAAAAUCACUCUGUAAAACACAAAUAAAGAGUAAAAAUAGAAGGACUUUUGGAAACAUAUACCUAGAUACGCACGUAUGUUUAUGUAUGUGAAACAUGAAGAACAUACUUAGGUGAAUUAUGUGAAGAUGUUGCCCACCAUUAGAGCGAAGAAGAUAACUAAAAAGACAAUAUAUUUUUUCUUUGUUUCUCUCUUUCCCCAUAUAGAAAACCAUUUAUUUUUGUUUUCUGAGAUUAGAG